UCUGUUUAUUCCUGCUAUGUAGAAUAGUUUAUUUUACAAAAACUUUGUUCUUUGCAGGAGAAUAUAAAAUUAUUUUGGUUCAAAUGUUAGCUCCGCCCAUUCACAGGCUGUAGUUGCGCUGCUUCAGCGUCAACGUCCCACCACACAGUUACUAGCUAGGUUGGUACACGUGCGUGUUCGGCUCUCUGGCAGUGGCACUUAACAGACACCAAGUUUGAAUGUUUCUUCUCUAUUAAUCCGGAGAAGGGGACAAAAGUGGAACAAACAAAAACAAAACGGCUCCAUGUGAAUCCAAGAGUCCUUACUUUGAUUCAGGACCUCUCAGACCAUGAAUGGCGAGCUAUUUAAAAAGUUGUUCCUUCAAGUGGCCGCGACAGUGAACACCCAUGUUUCUCUAGAUGUUCUUCUAGAAGCAAUGCAGUUGCAUGUUAAUCAAGCCUUUACCAUGAUUCACAAGCUCUCCAUGAAUGGCGAGCUAUUUAAAAAGUUGUUCCUUCAAGUGGCCGCGACAGUGAACACCCAUGUUUCUAGAUGUUCUUCUGGAAGCAAUGCAGUUGCAUGUUAAUCUAAGCUUCUGUAACUUGAUUCAUGACCUUUUCAACCAUGAAUGGCGAGCUAUUUGAAAAGUUGUUCCUUCAAGUGGCCGCGACAGUGAACACCCAUGUUUCUCUAGAUGUUCUUCUAGAAGCAAUGCAGUUGCAUGUUAAUCAAGCCUUUACCAUGAUUCACAAGCUCUCCAUGAAUGGCGAGCUAUUUAAAAAGGUGUUCCUUCAAAGUGAUUGAGCUGAUGAACACCUAUAUCAUCUUUUUUCGUGGCUCGCUAUUAACAAGGUUCACAUUUAUUCACUCACUCACUACCACACCUCACUCAUAAUUCCUCUCUCUCACAAACACAAGUGCAACCACACACACACACACACACUUUAAUGAUCUCUUUCUCAUUAUUUUUUCAACAAUAAAUUUGCAUUAUUGUGAAUUGUA